rnacentral:rRNA from 1 species
GAUCCUGGCUCAGGAUGAACGCUAGCUACAGGCUUAACACAUGCAAGUCGAGGGGCAGCGGGAUUGAAGCUUGCUUCAAUUGCCGGCGACCGGCGCACGGGUGAGUAACGCGUAUCCAACCUUCCGUACACUCAGGGAUAGCCUUUCGAAAGAAAGAUUAAUACCCGAUGGCAUAAUUAGACCGCAUGGUCUUAUUAUUAAAGAAUUUCGGUUAUCGAUGGGGAUGCGUUCCAUUAGGCAGUUGG